GUCGUCGUGAGGCGGGGUGGAAAGUAACCGGAAGCGAACUGUUGGUCCGUAGGAUAACGAACCUGUUUCGGCGGUGUAUGGCGGCGAGCCUUCACGAAGGCGGCGAAGCCUGGAAUCAAUGCAGCACGCUGUAGUGGCGGAUAAAGCGAUGCUGUGGCGUACAACGUGAUUGAGGACGGAACGAUGGGAAGGUGGCACGC
rfam:Ferrovum sp. Z-31 FEMY_contig000082, whole genome shotgun sequence.